rnacentral:rRNA from 2 species
UGAGGUGCUUGCACCUGAUUGAUUUUGGUCGCCAACGAGUGGCGGACGGGUGAGUAACACGUAGGUAACCUGCCCAGAAGCGGGGGACAACAUUUGGAAACAGAUGCUAAUACCGCAUAACAACGUUGUUCGCAUGAACAACGCUUAAAAGAUGGCUUCUCGCUAUCACUUCUGGAUGGACCUGCGGUGCAUUAGCUUGUUGGUGGGGUAAUGGCCUACCAAGGCGAUGAUGCAUAGCCGAGUUGAGAGACUGAUCGGCCACAAUGGGACUGAGACACGGCCCAUACUCCUACGGGAGGCAGCAGUAGGGAAUCUUCCACAAUGGGCGCAAGCCUGAUGGAGCAACACCGCGUGAGUGAAGAAGGGUUUCGGCUCGUAAAGCUCUGUUGUUAAAGAAGAACACGUAUGAGAGUAACUGUUCAUACGUUGACGGUAUUUAACCAGAAAGUCACGGCUAACUACGUGCCAGCAGCCGCGGUAAUACGUAGGUGGCAAGCGUUAUCCGGAUUUAUUGGGCGUAAAGAGAGUGCAGGCGGUUUUCUAAGUCUGAUGUGAAAGCCUUCGGCUUAACCGGAGAAGUGCAUCGGAAACUGGAUAACUUGAGUGCAGAAGAGGGUAGUGGAACUCCAUGUGUAGCGGUGGAAUGCGUAGAUAUAUGGAAGAACACCAGUGGCGAAGGCGGCUACCUGGUCUGCAACUGACGCUGAGACUCGAAAGCAUGGGUAGCGAACAGGAUUAGAUACCCUGGUAGUCCAUGCCGUAAACGAUGAGUGCUAGGUGUUGGAGGGUUUCCGCCCUUCAGUGCCGGAGCUAACGCAUUAAGCACUCCGCCUGGGGAGUACGACCGCAAGGUUGAAACUCAAAGGAAUUGACGGGGGCCCGCACAAGCGGUGGAGCAUGUGGUUUAAUUCGAAGCUACGCGAAGAACCUUACCAGGUCUUGACAUCUUGCGCCAACCCUAGAGAUAGGGCGUUUCCUUCGGGAACGCAAUGACAGGGGGUGCAUGGUCGUCGUCAGCUCGUGUCGGGAGAUGUUGGGUUAAGUCCCGCAACGAGCGCAACCCUUGUUACUAGGUUGCCAGCAUUAAGUUGGGCA